rnacentral:lncRNA from 1 species
GUGAAAUCAUGACUCUUAUACCAAUAUAAAAUUAAAACAUGUCAAAGAAUUUAACUCAUUAAUAAGCAAGGGAACCAGUAAGAUGUUGCAAUUGAUUCAAAAAAGAAUUCAACAAACACGUAUACCUAUAUACACAAUCAAGAAUGAAAACAGAUUCAAAAUUGGUUAAUGUCCACAGGAAAAUAAUAAAUUGCAUUUCCAUUGGUAAAAGUUUUUUGCUUUUCUAUGGAAAAGUUAUUUACAUUAGUAUACAAUUUAGACUGUAAAUUUCUUAAAGACAGCAAAAGGCAGAGGUAAUUAGGAAAAGUGCAGGAUGCCCAGCCAUUUUUUUGUACUUUUCAGUCUUCCAUAACAUUCCUUAAUGUGUUCUAUUAGUGACAAAAACUAUUACGUAAACUGUUAUCUCUUAAUCUACAUUUUCACAUUAGCAUAUGUUAUUUCACAGUCAAAAAUAUGAGAUGCACAAAAAGUAUGUAAGAACGUUCAUCAUUUUCUAUAAAUUUCUGUGAUCGCCACAUUUCCUCUGGACUCCGGUUGUCAGUAUCCAUUCCUGCUAGUAUCAGCUGAGUGUAUUUUCCGGCCUGGGAAAGGGCAUGGGGCCUGAAUGUGCCAUUCCUCCCUCUCUCUCAUCUCCCCAAAAGCAAUUGCAGGAGCGAUUACCUGGCUCUUCAUCUGCUCUCUUCCAAAGAUGGUCCUGAACCCAUGAACUUUAUUUCCUGAUUCCCCCAGGGCUUUGCCUUUGAUACUCAAAACCAAACUUUUGCUACUCAAAAACCUUAUAUAAUCCAAAAGCCCAGUUACUGCAAACCAAAAUUCUUGGCAUUCAAAAUUAUUGUUUUUCUUUUAGUUCAAAUCACUGUUUUAAAACUGAAGUGAUGUCUCAACUGUUACUUUUUCUUGUCAUCUCUGCUACAAUAGUUGCAGUGUGCCCCAAAGCAACGGAUGCUUCUGUCAGAAAAGGAAGACGUUUCUAUAUAAGGAAGUAUAAGACCCUAUGAUUUCUUCGUUAGUAUUUCUGAAGACAUUUACUAUCCCCCUUUGCAUCCUUUUCAACAGAAAUGCUUAAGUAAUUUCUAACCAGAGACAAUAAAGACACAGCAUUGAGUCUUCA